GCAGGGGUUUGUCCCGACCCUAGUUAUGUCAUGUAUAUUCUAGAGGCUUUGUAGAUAUAAGGAAGGGUAAAGUCAUGGAAGUUUAUGUAGUGAUGUUAUAUCUGUAUAUGUGGUGGCCCCGACGGCCAAGUAUUAUAUAUAUAUAUAUAUAUAUAUUUGCGGGUGUUGUGCUGAUACAGGUAAUUAGACCUUUCUAUAUGCAACGAAGUGCUGUCCAAUUUUUGGUGACAUGUAAGUGAAAGUACAGGUAUUUGAACGGGUUCUCCCGGGCCUUCUCGGCUUCGGGUGCCAGUCCG
rnacentral:lncRNA from 1 species